rnacentral:rRNA from 1 species
AUGGCCGACACCACGCUGCUUCCGCCGUCUCUGCUCCCGCGUCGUAGCGCCGCCGCCGACCUGCACUCCUGCUCCUCCCGCGUGCGCCUAAACCCUGCCUUGAUGGCAAACCCCGCGGCUGCCAAGAGGCCAAAGCGUCCCGGAUCCCUGCGCGACGGGCAACCACCGGCGCCGAAGCGCGUACGCGGUGCCUGCUCCGGGGGCGAGCUCCAUGUCGCGGUCACCACCAACAUCAAGAACAGCAGCAAGCUUCCGUGUCCCAGCAGCAGCAAGGAUCCAAGAACCAAGCUCGCCGUGAUCAAGAACCAGGUCGCGGAAUCUCCGGAGAGCGCGACGGAAUCGAAGCCGCAGAUGAGCAUGCGCGAACUGAUCGAGAAAGCUCGCCUCACCAUGGCUCUCCUCGACAAGGCUCGCUCUACCUCCGAAGAAGAGGCCAGCCGUCGGCGCGACAUCGAGCGCAGCCGAGCGGAGGCCCGGCGAAAGGUGGAGCAAAUGGCGGACACGGUGCAGUUCAGCGACCCGUGGAUCGAUCCCUCCGACGUGACCAAGUCCCCUGAGGAGCUGCUCCAAGCAAGACAGGAAGCAUGGCGUUAUCAAGCUCAGCUCAUCGAGAUGGCUCGUUGA